rnacentral:rRNA from 1 species
UCAGCAUGCAGAUCCAUUUUCUGCCACCGAAUACAUUAGCAUGGGAUAAUGGAAUAGGACCCUGUCCUCCUAUUUUCAGUUGGUUUUGGCAGCGCGAGGACUAGGGUAAUGAUUAAUAGGGAUAGUUGGGGGCAUUAAUAUUUAAUUGUCAGAGGUGAAAUUCUUGGAUUUAUGAAAGAUUAACUUCUGCGAAAGCAUCUGCCAAGGAUGUUUUCAUUAAUCAAGAACGAAAGUUAGGGGAUCGAAGACGAUCAGAUACCGUCGUAGUCUUAACCAUAAACGAUGCCGACCAGCGAUUAGGAGACGUUGAAUACAAAACACCACCAUCGGCGCGGUCGUCCUUGGCGUCUGUCCCUUUCAACGGGGGCAGGCGCGAGGGCGGUUUAGCCCGGUGGCACCGGUGAAUGACUCCC